UAACACAUGCAAGUCGAGCGCACCUUCGGGUGAGCGGCGGACGGGUUAGUAACGCGUGGGAACGUGCCCUUCUCUACGGAAUAGCCUCGGGAAACUGAGAGUAAUACCGUAUACGCCCUUCGGGGGAAAGAUUUAUCGGAGAAGGAUCGGCCCGCGUUAGAUUAGGUAGUUGGUGGGGUAAUGGCCUACCAAGCCUACAAUCUAUAGCUGGUUUGAGAGGAUGAUCAGCAACACUGGGACUGAGACACGGCCCAGACUCCUACGGGAGGCAGCAGUGGGGAAUCUUAGACAAUGGGGGAAACCCUGAUCUAGCCAUGCCGCGUGAGUGACGAAGGCCCUAGGGUCGUAAAGCUCUUUCAACUGUGAAGAUAAUGACGGUAGCAGUAGAAGAAACCCCGGCUAACUCCGUGCCAGCAGCCGCGGUAAUACGGAGGGGGUUAGCGUUGUUCGGAAUUACUGGGCGUAAAGCGCGCGUAGGCGGACUAUUAAGUCAGGGGUGAAAUCCCGGGGCUCAACCCCGGAACUGCCUUUGAUACUGGUAGUCUUGAGUUCGAGAGAGGUGAGUGGAAUUCCGAGUGUAGAGGUGAAAUUCGUAAAUAUUCGGAAGAACACCAGUGGCGAAAGCGGCUCACUGGCUCGAUACUGACGCUGAAGUGCGAAAGUGUGGGGGACAAACAGGAUUAGAUACCCUGGUAGUCCACACCGUAAACGAUGGAUGCCAGACGUUGGGGGGUUUACCCUUCAGUGUCACACCUAACGGAUUAAGCAUUCCGCCUGGGGAGUACGGUCGCAAGAUUAAAACUCAAAGGAAUUGACGGGGCCCGCACAAGCGGUGGAGCAUGUGGUUUAAUCGAGCACGCGCAGACUUACAACCCUGACAUCCUGUGCGACUUCGAGAGAUCGACUUUCUCUCGGGACUCAUGACGGUGCUGCAUGCUGUCGUCAGCUCGUGUCGGAGAUGUCGGUGAGUUCGCCACGACGCAGCACAUCUUCAGUGCUGCAGUCUGCUUGACUCUAGACUGCCCUGAUAUCGCAGAAGAGUGAUGAGUCAAGUCUCUGGCUUCUAGUUGGCGCACUGCUCAUCGUAGUGGCACAGGUGAUCCCAGCAGC
rnacentral:rRNA from 1 species